rnacentral:lncRNA from 1 species
CGAGAAUUUGUGUGUGCUACUGGUGCCAACAUUCCAAGAAAUAACAAUCCAUUCCAACAUUCAAUGCAUGUAAUCCGUUUUGAGUAAACAUAACAUGCAAGCUACUAAGGAACGACAAUCACCACUGAUAGCCAACUCCUACCAACAACAGAUUUCAACAGCAAUUACCAAUUAAUACAUCACAUUCCUUUUAUAGUUCUGACACAUAAUUUCAAAGUAAGUUGAAAGUGAAUAACAAGACGAGAAAAUAAAAAAAAGGAAAAUAAAAUCAGGCAAAAUGAUCACAUCAUAUCUUCAUUUCUCUUUAGCAAAGGCAUUUUAUAAGCCACUCUUUACAUGUUGGAAGUCAAAUGUGUACCUGGAAGUAAUAAAAGGAAAAGAGGUGAUUAUGGUAAGCAAGCAGCAAUAGUAGUAGACCAAACAAAAUAGAAUUUGACAGCACCAAGCAAAGUCCUAGAUUCAACCAAAUAACAAGUGAAAUCAACUCAAAUACCAAUGAAACACUGACCUCAACCCACAACACAAAUCCCAGACUUUAACUAAGAGAAAAUUCAAGCCAUUUCUCACGUUUAUUGAACCUAAGACUGCCUUGAAAAAUUUAAAUAAAAAAAUAUGGAAUAAAAGCCUAUGGAACAGUAAUUUUCUGCAAUUAUUUAGCUACCUGGAACUUUUCCAAAUUUCUCACUCAUUAGAAGUCUAUGAAAACAGUAAAGUUCAUCCGUCCUCUUUUUUCUCUCUCUAUAUUAU